CCUACGGGAGGCAGCAGUGGGGAAUAUUGGGCAAUGGGCGCAAGCCUGACCCAGCAACGCCGCGUGAAGGAAGAAGGCUUUCGGGUUGUAAACUUCUUUUGACAGGGAAGAGCAGAAGACGGUACCUGUCGAAUAAGCCACGGCUAACUACGUGCCAGCAGCCGCGGUAAUACGUAGGUGGCAAGCGUUGUCCGGAUUUACUGGGUGGAAAGGGCGUGUAGCCGGGCUUACAAGUCAGAUGUGAAAUACGGGGGCUCAACCCCCGAAAUGCAUUUGAAACUGUUUGUCUUUGAGUUUGGAGGGGGCAGGCGGAAUUCCUGGUUUGGCGUUGAA
rnacentral:rRNA from 1 species